UGGUGAGUAGAUGUAUUAAAAUUUGCGUUCUUUAGUAAUUUGUACGAUUAGUGUCAGUUUUAUUGGGUACAUGUUUUAAGAGGUGGUGGCUGACCUGGGCCAUACGCAGAGCCUUGCUGCUGGGGAUGCUCAGUGAGGGAGCAUCAUUGACUGGAGUGAUGUCAACAUGCAGUACGAAGCGGUGUUUGCCCUGCAGGUAACCCGGGAUGAUGAAGCCAGGCCCAGGAGCCAGUUCCAGAUCCAUCAUUAUACUAUCCUGGACACUCUCUGAGCCAUCGUGCAAGUACCGUACCUACCACAGAAUACAAUAUCUAGAUAUUAUUAAAUAAAUAUUAACAUCUUGCUCUCUAUAGCUGAGUCCAACAUUGGUAUAUUGUUUUAGUUCCAUUCUAAUGUUGAACUCAGUAUUACAUUAUGAGUUUCAUGUAUAUCAGUAUAAGAUUCCAUCUAAUGUAUCAUGUUACUACAUUUUACUCAUCUUUUAUGUUAUUCAUUCUCUUUCAACUGUCACCAUAUUGCGAAAGUAGUGUGAAACAUAAAAAAGUUACUAAUGAAAUGAGUUGUCCUGCUUAAAAAAUAGCUGGUCUCUGCUGCAUACUUGUUAUUGUUUACGUUUUACUCGUGUAUAUUGUUUUAUUACCACAAUAUAAAAAGUGUUUUAAUUAUAA